UCAGGACCAUCGGCCUAGUGGACAGAGAGGCCAUCAGCAAGCACAGCCUAGUGGUUCAUGCCACUGACCACGGAGUGCCGCCACGCCAGUCGUCCGCUACUGUUACUGUUGAAAUCGAUGACGUGAACGACAACGCCCCCAUCUUCACGGGUCCCACGUACGUGAACGUGCACAGAAAAAACAUCGAAGGCUUCACGAGUUUUUUUAAUCUGACCGACCUCGACGACUGGAGUGUUGGCCAUGGACCUCCUUUCUCCGCCCAGCUUGAUCCAAGGGCUCCCAGCUUCAUAAGAAAGGCCGUCAGUGUCGCAUAUAGGAGAGACUCCGCGGGCGGCGUAGGCAGCAUAA
rnacentral:lncRNA from 1 species